rnacentral:rRNA from 1 species
UACGGGGGGGGCAAGCGUUGUUCGGAAUUACUGGGCGUAAAGGGCUCGUAGGCGGCCAACUAAGUCAGACGUGAAAUCCCUCGGCUUAACCGGGGAACUGCGUCUGAUACUGGAUGGCUUGAGUUCGGGAGAGGGAUGCGGAAUUCCUGGUGUAGCGGUGAAAUGCGCAGAUAUCAGGAGGAACACCGAUGGCGAAGGCAGGUCUCUGGGCCAUAACUGACGCUGAGAAGCGAAAGCAUGGGGAGCGAACAGG